GGAGGCUACAGCUCAGUGGUAGAGUGCAUAUGUAGCAUGCACAAGGUCCUGGGUUCAAUCCCCAGUACCUCCA
rfam:Camelus ferus unplaced genomic scaffold scaffold688, whole genome shotgun sequence.